rnacentral:rRNA from 1 species
UGCCAGUGAUAAACUGGAGGAAGGUGGGGAUGACGUCAAGUCAUCAUGGCCCUUACGAGUAGGGCUACACACGUGCUACAAUGGCGCAUACAAAGAGAAGCGACCUCGCGAGAGCAAGCGGACCUCAUAAAGUGCGUCGUAGUCCGGAUUGGAGUCUGCAACUCGACUCCAUGAAGUCGGAAUCGCUAGUAAUCGUAGAUCAGAAUGCUACGGUGAAUACGUUCCCGGGCCUUGUACACACCGCCCGUCACACCAUGGGAGUGGGUUGCAAAAGAAGUAGGUAGCUUAACCUUCGGGAGGGCGCUUACCACUUUGUGAUUCAUGACUGGGGUGAAGUCGUAACAAGGUAACCGUAGGGGAACC